GGUUUUCCUGGGGGCCUCAGAGUGGUUUAGCCUCUUCCCAAACUGGGUAAUUCAUGGUUCACCAUCCUAGAUCUUUUCCCAAAUUGACUUUUGAGUAGCCAGAACUCACGGCAGCUGGAUUCUGUGCUCUUUCCCUUAGAUUUUGUGAUAUACUACUCCUCCCCAUCCCCACCCUAUGUCCUAUCCUAGUGAUCUGUUCCUUUCCAUCUCCUGAACAAGCAGUUCAAAGUCUUUUUUUUUUUUCUGGGCAUGGCCAGUUCAGAGCUUUGCAGCACUGGCUCUUCCAGGCUGCAACCCCCAAAAGGCUAUAGCUCCUGAAGGUUUGAAAGUUGGUGGUUGAGGUCCAAGAAAAACUUCUGCAGCCUAGAUCCAGAGUCUCUACAGCAAUGGAAAGAGCAAGGGGCACUGGAACAUAGGGCAACCAUGAUUGAUUGAUUUCAUAGGAGACACUAAAUGCUUCAUGGAAACUGUCAACAUGGAAUCUAGAAGAGAUCCAAGCAGCGCAUCUGCAGCUUCAAGCUGAAGGUCCCGAGUUCGAUCCUCAUUAGGAGGUUGUGAUGUACUGGGAGAGGCUUCUGGAGACUGGAAGAGUCACUGGACUUCGGCUUGGGCUUAGCCCCCAUCUGGAGGGAGUGGUGGAUUCUCACCGGAACAGGCUCAAGCCUGAGGCUUUCCCCUCCGAGCUAAGUAACCCUGGGAAUCACUCAGUCUUUCUAGGCUAAGUCUGGGGGCUUCUAGAUUCCAUGUUGACGCAACAAACUGUCUUUAAAUCCUGAAAGUUAUUUUUUUCAUGUUUUGAGAAUUUGUUCAUGUGACUUUAUGUGUUUUUGGUAUUCCAAGUAUUUCUAAUGUGGAGAAGGAAAUAAAUGGCUGUCCUUAUGUGUUA